rnacentral:rRNA from 1 species
AUGCCAAUAUUCCAUAUGGAUCCACAACACCAUACCCUCAGAAAUCCAAGAUUUCCUCCACAGUUUGAUGUCGACAACCGUGUCAAAACAUCCCAUGACCUAUUGCCACAGAUAGGUAUGCCGACAGCACGGGUAAGCCAAAAAGCCAAACAAUCGCUCAGAUCAGGUAUAAUCACGUGCAAAAUGGAGCGCACGGGCAGUCUGUCAGGAAAAGCAUUUUUUCCAUCAGCAUCUUUGUCAGGCCAGUCUCAAAAUUUGAGGUAUGCUACAUCUACCAGUUCCUACCCCUUUAUAUUGUUCAUGAUAGAAUGCAGGCGAAUCUUUGGUAAAUAUCUCUUGUUUGAGACCAAAGAAACAAUCCAAGAGGAGUCAGUACCACUAUUGGGCAAUCAGAUCUCGUCAGAAGAGUGGCUAGGAUUCUCGAUAUUGUGUGAACCCGGAAGACAUGCAUUUGUUUGGACAACCCAAUGGCCUAUGUAA